UACGGAGGGUGCAAGCGUUAAUCGGAAUUACUGGGCGUAAAGGGCGCGUAGGCGGCCUUCUAAGUCGAACGUGAAAUCCCUGGGCUCAACCCAGGAACUGCGUCCGAUACUGGGAGGCUUGAAUCCGGGAGAGGGAUGCGGAAUUCCAGGUGUAGCGGUGAAAUGCGUAGAUAUCUGGAGGAACACCGGUGGCGAAGGCGGCAUCCUGGACCGGCAUUGACGCUGAGGCGCGAAAGCCAGGGGAGCAAACGGG
rnacentral:rRNA from 1 species